rnacentral:rRNA from 1 species
AGAGUUUGAUCAUGGCUCAGAUUGAACGCUGGCGGCAUGCCUAACACAUGCAAGUCGAACGGCAGCACGGGGGCAACCCUGGUGGCGAGUGGCGGACGGGUGAGGAAUGCAUAGGAAUCUGCCCAGUUGUGGGGGAUAACGUAGGGAAACUUACGCUAAUACCGCAUACGACCUACGGGUGAAAGAGGGGGACCUUCGGGCCUCUCGCGAUUGGAUGAGCCUAUGCCGGAUUAGCUAGUUGGCGGGGUAAGAGCCCACCAAGGCGACGAUCCGUAGCUGGUCUGAGAGGAUGAUCAGCCACACUGGAACUGAGACACGGUCCAGACUCCUACGGGAGGCAGCAGUGGGGAAUAUUGGACAAUGGGCGCAAGCCUGAUCCAGCAAUGCCGCGUGUGUGAAGAAGGCCUUCGGGUUGUAAAGCACUUUUGUUUGGGAAGAAAUCCGGUUGGUUAAUACCUGAUCGGGAUGACGGUACCAAAAGAAUAAGCACCGGCUAACUUCGUGCCAGCAGCCGCGGUAAUACGAAGGGUGCAAGCGUUAAUCGGAAUUACUGGGCGUAAAGCGUGCGUAGGUGGUUUGUUAAGUCAGAUGUGAAAGCCCUGGGCUCAACCUGGGAACUGCAUUUGAUACUGGCAGGCUAGAGUGCGGUAGAGGGUGGUGGAAUUCC